UACGAAGGGGGCUAGCGUUGUUCGGAAUUACUGGGCGUAAAGCGCGUGUAGGCUGUUCGGGAAGUCGGAUGUGAAAGCCCUGGGCUCAACCUAGGAAGUGCAUUCGAAACUCCCGGACUGGAGUCCCGGAGAGGAAGGCGGAAUUCUCGGUGUAGAGGUGAAAUUCGUAGAUAUCGAGAGGAACACCGGUGGCGAAGGCGGCCUUCUGGACGACGACUGACGCUGAGACGCGAAAGCGUGGGGAGCAAACAGG
rnacentral:rRNA from 1 species